GCUUAAGUGGUUAAGUAGUAAAGAUGUUAGCUUAUAGAUUAUAUAUAAUUAUCGUUACCGUAGCGAUAGUUAUAUAAAGAGAACUAAAGUCCCGGGUUUAAUUCCUAGCUUAGGUA
rnacentral:tRNA from 1 species